rnacentral:lncRNA from 1 species
CGAUGGAGGCGGUAUGGGGCGGUGUGGGGCGAUGUGGGGCGAUGUGGGGCGCGGGACCCCCCCGUCCUCCGCUGCUUCUCUCCCGCAGGACCUGCAGGAGAGAACGGCGGCGCUGCUGAGGAGGAGCUCCGCCCCUUUGUGGGCGUGGCCAACCGGCCGGUGGGCGGAGCCUGGAUGAGGACCCACUGCAGUGCUGGAGGGCAAACAGGAGGCGGGGCUUCACAGAAGCCCCUCCCCCUGUGACGUCAGCACGGAGGCGGAGCCAAUCGUUGGAGGCAGCGAGAGGGGCGGAGCCACGGCGGCAAAGGAGCCAAUCAGAUGAGACCGUCCCUCCAGCGCCGUGGGGCAGCGCCGUGGGGCAGCAAGCGGCCGCCAUCGAACUGCUGCAGGAAGCAAUGGAUUCGGAUGAGGCGGAGGCGGCGGAGGAUGCGGUGCUGCAGGCGCUGAGGGAUCGACGGCGGAGACUGCGGGGGAUGCUGAGGUCCGUGGAAGCGCAGUUGGCCGCCCCGCCCCCCCCGCAGUAAAACCUCCGCGCCAUUUUUUGUCCUCAUUUCUCCGUUUUUCG